AUCUCAGUAAAGUAACAGCAGUAUCACAGCACAGAUUCAGGAUUGAGGCCUUCAACUUUUGCAUUUUGAGUCAGAAAAAUGUAGAAUGGAGCGGCCACACCUUAUUCAAACUUCCACUUUUCAAAAUGAGACUGAAUACACAAAUGGACAAUGGUAGAUUGUAUAUAAACAAUCUACCAGGAGCAUUGAGGGUACCCGUCAGUUCCCAGGAAACAGGGAGGCUCGCAUGCUUGAUAUUAACCACAUGAUAUAAACAACGGUAGACUGUAAUACUGACCCACAGUCUGCAGCCCAGGAGGAGAAACUGUGACCUCUGCAGCAAUCGGCCCCAAAUGCUCAGGACUUGAUCGGUGUCUUCCCGCUGCCCUCCUUUUAGCCACCGCUUUCAAUUUCGGACCCAUCAGAGAACGGUGCUCUCCUGACCCAUCACACAAGGGCCUGACUGUGGCGAGCCGGCCUACAGCUCCGCGUGCCUACAGCACCCCCUCGGCACCCCGGAGCUUCCCUCUUCUCCAUGAUGCCUCCUGCUCCCGUGCCCCCAGGAGCCUUCGCCACGCGGGCAGGACGGCGCCCAGGCCCUUGCAGAGCGGGCUUGGAGGGAACAGCCUCUGCCUGCGCUCACGGGGCCGGCGUUCAUUUAUUCCCACACAACCAUGUUUUAUCUUCUUUAUGACAGAUUAUUUUUCCCAGAACUAAAAGGAAAGCCGUUUUCAUUGUUAAUUUUCCUCUGCUUUCUCUGAAGAGGUGCUGCCAUGAAGCAAAAUAGCCAGGGGGGGCAGCAAGACCACCAGAGUCCCCACCGCAGUAAAGCAGCGGCCCAGGAGGCUGGGAACAGCAGCGGUCACCCGAGUUCCGAAUCGAAAUGGCCACGACACGGAGAAACUCUGUCCACAAACACGAUGCCCACUACUCACAAGAGAUGCCCCAUCUGAAGGCAGCGCUUCAUGGGGAGCCCCAUACGAUGGCUCCCUGACUCUGCGAUCUGGUCUGGAGAUGCAGUGGCCCUGACUCUGCGGUAGCACCGACUCUGAGUUCUGGUCUGGAGGUGCGGUGGCCCCGACCCUGCGGUCUGGUCUGGAGGUGCAGUGGCCCCGACUCUGUGAUCUGGUCUGGAGGUGCGGUGGCCCCAACCCUGCGGUCUGGUCUGGAGGUGCGGUGGCCCCGACUCUGCGAUCUGGUCUGGAGGUGCAGUGGCCCCGAUCCUGAGGUCUGGUCUGGAGGUGCAGUGGCCCCGACUCUGCGAUCUGGUCUGGAGGUGCAGUGGCCCCGACUCUGAGGUCUGGUCUGGAGGUGCAGUGGCCCCGACUCUGAGGUCUGGUCUGGAGGUGCAGUGGGACGCACCAAGGCUCUGUGCCAAGUCCCCGCAGGCUCCUGCUCAGGACACAGUGCAGCUCAGCACAUUAAUGACAGCUCUCACAGCCUCGAGGAAACAAAUGUUUCCCUUUGUUAGCCCAAAGUUUCCUAAACACAUCUGACUUGGAGCUAGAUUUUCACAUCUCUGCUGUACCAAGGGAAGGCAGGAGCGGCUGCUCCAUAGGAAGCCAUGGUCCCCCGGGCCAGGACCGAGUAAUCGGUGUUGUUCCCCUCCACAAGGUCACCGGUUUGACUCCUGUGUAACAGUGGACUUGACUGUGUCUUAUGGACACAGACUGGAUUCUAAUCCCAUCAGCCCUUUCUCAUCACAAGUCAUCGCCUCCUGGUAAAAGGGGAGGGUGGGGAGAAGUGAACUUGUCAGUCUAGCGGUCUGUAAUUCUGUCAUCCCCACAAACCCAUCUCUAAUACUGGGGAAAAUGGACACCAAGUCCAGUUCCUGGUCCAUUCAAACUGGCCACGCACAUCACCGGGGGGUAAGGAUGGAGCAGGUGCAAUUCCAGUGUUCACAGCCCAAGGCUUCCCAGAGCAAUCUGCUGUAAUGGUAGAGUUUAAAUUAAAUUAUAUAUAAACACUCAAGAUGCAUACCUCUUUGUGUGAAUGCAUCAUUUGUUUUAUUUUUAAGAAAAGGGAAAAAAAACUGAAAAUCUGUCCCUGGGUGUGGUUACUAAGCCCUA
rnacentral:lncRNA from 10 species